rnacentral:rRNA from 1 species
AACGAACGCUGGCGGCAGGCUUAACACAUGCAAGUCGAGCGCCCCGCCAGGGGAGCGGCAGACGGGUGGGUAACGCGUGGGAACGUACCUUUUGGUUCGGAACAACUCCGGGAAACUGGAGCUAAUACCGGAUAAGCCCUAACGGGGAAAGAUUUAUCGCCGAAAGAUCGGCCCGCGGCUGAUUAGCUAGUUGGUGAGGUAACGGCUCACCAAGGCGACGAUCAGUAGCUGGUCUGAGAGGAUGAUCAGCCACACUGGGACUGAGACACGGCCCAGACUCCUACGGGAGGCAGCAGUGGGGAAUAUUGGACAAUGGGCGCAAGCCUGAUCCAGCCAUGCCGCGUGAGUGAUGAAGGCCUUAGGGUUGUAAAGCUCUUUUGUCCGGGAAGAUAAUGACUGUACCGGAAGAAUAAGCCCCGGCUAACUUCGUG